CUCCUUGGGCUUCUCAGCUGAAAGCCAGAGUGCACGUGUCCUGCAGACCCAGGCCCUUUCCAGAAGCCACCGGCCGCAUGUGAUGAGGGGCGGCAUUCCUGCACUGGGUGGAAAUGCAUUUGUGACACUGUGACGGAAGCAGGCACAGGAUCUGUAGUGCCGGCAUGCUCCAACACAGCCUUGCCUUUUGGGGGGAUGCUUUUGGAGCCUCAUCUCGGAUUUCCAGGACAAGCAAUACUGAGAGCUACCCAACAAAAGACAAGAUGAAGUACUGCUCGUAUCACUCCCUUAUGGCUACUCUGAGGCAGGAUCGUUGCGUCAGACACUUCCCCUUCUGCAAAUAACAGAACCUUCCUGUCUGCGGACAGUUUCGGGUUAUUUUUAGACUUCUCAGUGAUUUACUCUCCCCCACCAGUGAUAAUGUGAGACCUAGUGUAAACAACUAUCUGGAGCUGUAACUUCAUAUUAUAAAAUUUGCCAUUAUAAAACACAUGCCCAACAGAUGCAAAUGGCUGAGCUGUGUCCUGAUCUGAGCUGUAUUUCCAUGCAAUGAUUUAGCCAACCUAUUUUAACCACAACUAAGCAACACCAUGCCUUGCCUACAAAGGAGGAAUCAAUCAUGACAGUGACUUGAGAAUAACUUCCCACAUCGAGACGCUCUAGUUUGAAAUAAAAUUGAUUUUAUUUAAGAAUAAA